rnacentral:rRNA from 1 species
GACGUAGGGCGCAAGCGUUGUCCGGAUUUAUUGGGCGUAAAGAGCUCGUAGGCGGCCUGUCGCGUCGGAUGUGAAAGCCCGGGGCUUAACCCCGGGUCUGCAUUCGAUACGGGCAGGCUAGAGUGUGGUAGGGGAGAUCGGAAUUCCUGGUGUAGCGGUGAAAUGCGCAGAUAUCAAGAGGAACACCUGCGGCGAAGGCGGGUUGCUGGGCUGACACUGACGCUGAGGCGCGAAAGCUAGGGGAGCGAACGGG